GCAGGAGGGGUUUGUAAUAAGAGAAUGACCGAAUGACCCAAAGGCUGAUUAUCUAUCAUUAACUGGAGACUCGGUGUACCCAAAUUACCAGGGGGACCUCAGUCGCCGGAUCCUUACCCAGCCAGAAAGGCAAGUGUGGAAUGCACACACUGAAAGCAGGCUCGUGGCAUUGCAAACGAAGACACUCCGCUCACACGUUUUCUUAAGGAGGUUUCCCUCAAAACCCAACUCAGGAUCAGUGGACAAAUUUAUUAGAUUCUGACAUGUUGUACACAGGACUAAAAGAUAAACCAGUUUCUUAUUCUUCACCAGUUUCAAGAUUCAGUGACAUCAAAAAAAAAAAAAAAAAACUGAGAAAUCCAAGCAUUGCUCAAAGCUUCUCCCCACAUCCUGUGCUCAGCCUUAAGACGCAAUGCUGGGGGCAUCCAAGAGAACUGACCCCAUGCCCGGGGGACAGAAGGGACCCUGAAUGGACUCCAGGACUGGGCUUGCUAGCCUAUGCCGGUCUCUGAGUUCCCCUCUCCUACCACCUAGCCACCGCAAACCUAAAAUGCAUUUCUCGAUGCUGAUGCCCUGGACUGUAGAGGCUGGUGAAGCCCACCCUGAAUCCCCUGCAGCAGAGGAGUUGGGGGCUCCCACCCUCCUUCUGUCCGCUGGCUCUGACCUUGCCUUCCAUCCCCAACCCCCGACAUGUGGAAAGUGCCCCGCGCUCUGGGAAAGGACUGAAGGACUGUCCCCGCGGAGUCCUUGGGUUGGGGCUCCCUUUGUGAGGUGGGGCUCCUUGUGAGGCCUGGGGCCUGUCUCUGCCUGCUUCCAAAGGACAAUCCCCAAGGUGGAGUCAAGGGUCUCCUCUGGGUGACCCCAGCCAGGCCCAGCCAAGAGUCCCAGGCCGCCAGGGCCCGCCUGGUCUCCUCUCCACUCUGCCCUGGGCUACCUCUAAUUUAGGGCCCCCAGGGUCCCGCUUGACACCCUCACCCGCACCCAAUGCCAUCAGGCCCCGACCUCCCCGAAACAAGGGGUCUCCCUUGGCGACUCGCUGCCAAGCCCGGGGAUGUUCCAGCUGCUGCCUCCGUCCAUCCCUGCCCCGGCCUCUUUCCGGCUUUCCCAAAACGCUCACGCCACGAGGGCGCCUCGGCCGGCUGACUUACAAGCGGAGAUCCACUUUCCGUUAUAAUGCGUGCAAGAUCACUGGGGCCAGCAGCCUCAACAUCCACGAGCCGUCCUCCCGGUCCGCCUCUUAAACUGCUGUUUAAUGGUUCCCCUCCGAUCACUAAACCUGCCUUCCACAGAUGCCCGCUUUUAUGGGAGACGCAGGAAUGCACAGAUAUAUUUAUAUGUUUGUUCGUAAAAACUGGAAAAUAAGCUCUGAACACGCUGUAAAAAAUAUUCAGUUACUUACCAAACAGGCCAGUGAAACCAGGGGGACACCGAUGCCGGCCACUCCACCAAUUCGGGGAAUCGAGGUUGCCUGCGCUUUGCAGUCGCCCAGGGUCGUCGUCGCCGGGGCUGGUGUCCCUGAAGAAUAUGGGAAUAAGGGUAUUUACAGGGGGCUUGAACGUUCGUCCGGCGGCCUCAACCGCGAUCCUCAAAAGCAACGCCGGUCACGGGAGCGACCUCCGAGGCCCGGGCCGGGGUAGCGCAGUGGGUUAGGCAGGGAGACGCGCGAGGGUAGCGGUGCCAGGUCGCAGCGGCCGC